AUUGAACGCUGGCGGAAUGCUUUACACAUGCAAGUCGAACGGCAGCACGGACUUCGGUCUGGUGGCGAGUGGCGAACGGGUGAGUAAUACAUCGGAACGUGCCCAGUCGUGGGGGAUAACGUAGCGAAAGCUACGCUAAUACCGCAUACGAUCUACGGAUGAAAGCGGGGGAUCGCAAGACCUCGCGCGAUUGGAGCGGCCGAUGGCAGAUUAGGUAGUUGGUGGGGGAAAGGCUCACCAAGCCGACGAUCUGUAGCUGGUCUGAGAGGACGACCGGCGACACUGGAACUGAGACACGGCCCAGACUCCUACGGGAGGCAGCAGUGGGGAAUUUUGGACAAUGGGCGCAAGCCUGAUCCAGCCAUUCCGCGUGCAGGAUGAAGGCCCUCGGGUUGUAAACUGCUUUUGUACGGAACGAAAAGGCUCUGGUUAAUACCCGGGGCUCAUGACGGUACCGUAAGAAUAAGCACCGGCUAACUACGUGCCAGCAGCCGCCGUAA
rnacentral:rRNA from 1 species